CACGCCGUAAACGGUGGGCACUAGGUGUGGGUCACAUUCCACGUGAUCCGUGCCGUAGCUAACGCAUUAAGUGCCCCGCCUGGGGAGUACGGCCGCAAGGCUAAAACUCAAAGGAAUUGA
rnacentral:rRNA from 1 species